UACGUAGGGGGCAAGCGUUGUCCGGAAUCAUUGGGCGUAAAGCGCGUGUAGGCGGCUGGGUAAGUCCGCUCUGAAAGCCCGGGGCUCAACCCCGGGAGGCGGGUGGAUACUGCUCAGCUCGAGUCCGGAAGAGGAGUGUGGAAUUCCUGGUGUAGCGGUGAAAUGCGCAGAUAUCGGGAGGAACACCUAUGGCGAAGGCAGCUCGCUGGGACGUUACUGACGCUGAGACGCGAAAGCGUGGGGAGCAAACAGG
rnacentral:rRNA from 1 species